GGCGCACGGGUGCGUAACGCGUGGGAACCUGCCUUUAGGUUCGGAAUAACAGUUAGAAAUGACUGCUAAUACCGGAUAAUGUCUUCGGACCAAAGAUUUAUUGCCUUUAGAUGGGCCCGCGUUGGAUUAGAUAGUUGGUGGGGUAAUGGCCUACCAAGUCGACGAUCCAUAGCUGGUCUGAGAGGAUGAUCAGCCACACUGGGACUGAGACACGGCCCAGACUCCUACGGGAGGCAGCAGUGGGGAAUAUUGGACAAUGGGCGAAAGCCUGAUCCAGCAAUGCCGCGUGAGUGAUGAAGGCCUUAGGGUUGUAAAGCUCUUUUACCAGGGAUGAUAAUGACAGUACCUGGAGAAUAAGCUCCGGCUAACUCCGUGCCAGCAGCCGCGGUAAUACGGAGGGAGCUAGCGUUGUUCGGAAUUACUGGGCGUAAAGCGCACGUAGGCGGCUUUUCAAGUCAGGGGUGAAAUCCCGGGGCUCAACCCCGGAACUGCCCUUGAAACUGGAUGGCUAGAAUACUGGAGAGGUGAGUGGAAUUCCGAGUGUAGAGGUGAAAUUCGUAGAUAUUCGGAAGAACACCAGUGGCGAA
rnacentral:rRNA from 2 species